UUAUAAGCAUAAUAAAUAUCUGAAACGUGUUCCUUACAUUCCCAUAUUCUACUUGGCAAUAGACAUUGAAGAUAGAAAGUGAUUCUGUUUUAAACAUAAACAUGCACAUUUCGUUGGUAAUAUUGGUUAUGAUGUUGGUUGCUAACUGGAGCGUCGCAUAUGACUGCACAACACAAAGCUGUCUGACACGUUUGUACAACAGUCGCAUCACACGUGCCGAGUAUUACACAAGGCCGUUGGCGGGUUCCAGUUCACAGAGUAGAAAGAAACGUUUCACUUGCGCUCGUUGCACUGUCUGUCAUGCUGGAAUAGUUGUGACCACGACUUCCGGUAAAAGAUGGCUGAUUCACAAAGGCGAUAAUUACGGCUCGAGCGAUAGUUCAUCGGAUACAGUGAUUACUGAUGCAGAUUAUAUGAACAGCAGAUGGACAAGGGUUCGUAGUACAGACAUAGCUCCUGGUCGCACUGUUACCGUAGGUGAAGUCUUGGCUCGCGGCAAUCCCGACACUGGAUACAACUUGUUGAUCGACAACUGUCUACAUGCGGCUGAUAAGAUGUGGCGAUUUUUAACUGGAAGACGUUGGUUUUGUUAGAACCAUCACGCAAACCAAAGGCGAUUUCAUUAUUAUACAGUGUGAACAAACAUAUAUUUAGUUUGAUAAGAAAAACGAUACUUUUAUACAUCGAUCAGGACAGAAUACAGAUUUUAAGUCAUGCAAUUGCAACUGUUUUAUUUGUUUUUCAAUGUUUACUUCGGAAAAAAACGGAAUGAGGUUUUAUAUUAAAUAAUAUAUUUGUCAAUGUUUAAUCUGUCGUCAUAAGUGUAUUAUAUUUUCGACGAUGAAUGAUUUAGCACAAGUUACAUGUUAUCCUUAUAGACUGAGUGUCGACAUGUACAUUGCGAAGCCGUAUAUUGUUUUGAUUCGAAUAGAUACUUAUAUUUGCUAAAAUAUCAAAUUAAAUAAGAUUUUUUUUAACAAGACUUAUCAUUAUCAUAACAGAAAAUUAUUAUUGUACAUGGCUUUCAAUGACAUACAUACAUUUACAUACAUUUACAUUUAUGAUUGCAUAAAAUAUUAAGAAAUAUAAAUUUUUGAAAUGUAUCAUUAAGCUUCAAUUUACGUCGUUUUCAAGACAUUAAAACUUAAAUACCCAUAAAUAUAUAUAUUGAGUUUUAAUGGUAUUGUUUAUAUACAUAUGCCUAUACCAAUAUGGACUUAACAGCAAUUUGUUAAGUCAACUGCAGAAGACAAAUUACAGAAGACAGCUAGGGCUUCGACAAUGUUUGAACAUUUAACCUGAUAGCAUUUAUAAUAUCUAAGGCCCAUUUAUAAUGCUUCCUCGAAAAUGCAGUCUGUAAUUUUAUAAUUUUAAUUACUGUCAAUCUGUACAACUUUAUGUUUUUCAUUAUCAGGCAUUUAUUGUAUUAAUAAAUUAGAUCCGUA